UCUACUUUAGGCUGGUACAUAACAAAAAUUUGUAUGAGAAAGACUGCUUAAAGUAUAUCCUUUCAUUUCUACUUUAGGCUGGUACAUAACAAAAAUUUGUAUGGGAAAGACUGGUUUAAGGCAAGUAUCCUUUUAUUUCUAUAUUAGGCUAGUGCAAAACAAAAAAAUGUAUGAGAAAUACUGGCUGUGUGCUUCAGGUAAGUAUCUUCAUGUUGUCUAACAAGCUCAAUCAGUUUUUCAUCCAUGAUAAAAAGGCACUUUUAGUUCCUGUGGCUGCUGGUCAGUGACUGACCGUUGGCGGGGCGUCGUUCACACUAUGGGCACGGCACCGUCACGUCACGUCAAAAUAUUCUUGGAAAGAAUCCGUGACGUGACGGUGCCGUGAUGUGAUGGUGACGUGACGGUGACGAACCGACUGAACAGAUCCAUUGGAUUACAUGUAAAAAAUUCUGACGGAACGGUGACGUGAUGUGAUGAGACGGAGACGUGAUGAAUAGUGUGACUGGGCCUUAAGAGAGGAGCACCAAUAUGGCGGAUCUGGUGGGUGGCUUCAGGGGUUCCAAGAUGGCGGCUAGUAUGACGUCACAUUCUUCGUCACGUCGACUGGUCGAGGCGGCGCUGACGUCACGGAAGGGGCCUUCCGCCAUCUUGGAAUCUUGGAUUUGAAGGCUAUGUUACUAUUAUUCCUAUCAUUAUUAUUAUUUUUAGUGAUAUUAGUGAUGAUUAUUAUUUAUCAUUAUUUUUAAAUGUUUUAUUUAUUAUUAUCAUUGAGAGCUAUUGUAUUGCAAAUCGUAAUAUUAUUUACUACUACUACUACUACUACUACUACUACUACUACUACUACUACUACUACUAUUACUACUUUCAGAGCUGAGGGUAGCGAUUUACGGCCACGCAAUAUUACCACAUCCACAACCCUCCCAUUGGCAACACUGUCCUGCGCUCCCUCUAGACCCCUGCCUGCAAGCUCUGUGUUUGAACUGUCCAAUAAAAUCACCGCUUCUGUUUGCCAGGUGCCGAGACAAAUCUACCACACCUUGCCCUCAACCACCAUCACCACCAUCGCCUCAGUUGACCAGUAAAUGGUUAAGCUAUCAAGACUAUUACUACCUGAUGAUAGUCGACCAUCUGAGGGCCAAGUAUCAGAGAGGCGUGACUAUUUGUAGAGACCUUGGGGCGUCAAGACUAGCGCGUCUCGAUAGUAAGGUUCAACACGCAUGUUCAGCCUGUUUGCCUACCACUAUUAGACAACUACAACCACCGCCGCCACCACAACUACCACAAUCAAGGGCUGAGGUACAGUCUGGUGGCUUGGGGCACCUCCUCUGACCGC